rnacentral:rRNA from 1 species
ACAAGUAGUCAGAGCCCGUUAAUGGGUGAUGGCGUGCCUUUUGUAGAAUGAACCGGCGAGUUACGAUUUGAUGCAAGGUUAAGCAGUAAAUGUGGAGCCGUAGCGAAAGCGAGUCUGAAUAGGGCGUUUAGUAUUUGGUCGUAGACCCGAAACCAGGUGAUCUACCCUUGGUCAGGUUGAAGUUCAGGUAACACUGAAUGGAGGACCGAACCGACUUACGUUGAAAAGUGAGCGGAUGAACUGAGGGUAGCGGAGAAAUUCCAAUCGAACCUGGAGAUAGCUGGUUCUCUCCGAAAUAGCUUUAGGGCUAGCCUCAAGUGAUGAUUAUUGGAGGUAGAGCACUGUUUGGACGAGGGGCCCCUCUCGGGUUACCGAAUUCAGACAAACUCCGAAUGCCAAUUAAUUUAACUUGGGAGUCAGAACAUGGGUGAUAAGGUCCGUGUUCGAAAGGGAAACAGCCCAGACCACCAGCUAAGGUCCCAAAAUAUAUGUUAAGUGGAAAAGGAUGUGGCGUUGCCCAGACAACUAGGAUGUUGGCUUAGAAGCAGCCAUCAUUUAAAGAGUGCGUAAUAGCUCACUAGUCGAGUGACACUGCGCCGAAAAUGUACCGGGGCUAAACAUAUUACCGAAGCUGUGGAUUGUCC